UCUCAAGAUGGUGGUGUACUGUUACGGG
rnacentral:sRNA from 1 species